CUUGGGAUCUCCAGCUCUCACAUCAGGGCUCAAGACAAAACCUGUAGUCAAACAAAUUCUUGGCAUAGAGCAAUCAGGACCUUCUCACAUCUGUACAAGAUUUACUACAAACAAGCUGACUGUUCUUGCUCCUCUUUAAAAGAGUUGAAAAAUCCAAACCGUGUACUGUAUAUUCAAAAUAAACUGAAAGGAAAUAUGCAUUUCUUUAAAAGUUGACCCAAGUAUCUAUGAACAGAUGAAUGGAUAAAGAAAAUAUGGUAUAUAUACACAAAGGAAUAUUAUUCAGCCUUAAAAAAGAAAAAAUUCUGUCAUUUGCAACAACAUGGAUGAACCUGAAGGACAUUAUGUUGAGUGAAAUAACCUAGGCAUGUAAAGACAAAUAGUUUGCGAUCUCACUUAUUAUGUGGAAUUAAAAGAAAAUCAAACUCAGAAACAGAGAAAAAUGGUGAUUACCAGAGGCUAGGAUUUGGGGGAUUGGGGAGAUUUUAGUCAAAGGACACAAAAUUUCAGUUAGAGAGAAGGAAUAAGUUAAAGAGAUCUAUUGUAUAUCAUGGUGACUGUGGUUAAUAAUAAUACAUUGUACACUUGAAAAUUGCUAAAUUUUGUGUUUUGACCACAAAAGAUACAUCUGUAAGGUAAUGCAUAUUCAAACAGCUUGAUUUAGCCAUUCCACAAUGUAUACGUGCAUCAAAGCAUCAUAUUGUAUACCAUAAAUACAUGCAAUUGUGACUUGUCAAUGAAAAAAUAAAUUAAAAUGUGAAAAGUUAACUCACGA
rnacentral:lncRNA from 1 species